rnacentral:rRNA from 1 species
GAUGAACGCUGGCGGCGUGCCUAAUACAUGCAAGUCGAGCGAACGGACGAGAAGCUUGCUUCUCUGAUGUUAGCGGAGGACGGGUGAGUAACACGUGGAUAACCUACCUAUAAGACUGGGAUAACUUCGAGAAACCGGAGCUAAUCCCGGAUAAUAUUUUGAACCGUAUGGUUCGAUAGUGAAAUACGGUCUUUGUGUCACUUAUAGCUGGUUCCGCGCUGCGUUGGCUAGUUGGUAGGGUAACGGCUUAUCAAGGCAACGAUGCAUAGCCGACCUGAGAGGGGGAUAGGCCGCCUUGGAACUGAGACACGGUCAAGGCGCCUACGGGAGGCAGCAGUAGGGAAUCUUCCGCAAUAGGCGAAAGCCUGACGGAGCAGCGCGGAGUGAGUGAUAAAGGUCUUCGGAUCGUAAAAAUCUGUUAUUAGGGAAGAACAUAUGUGGAAGUAACUGUGCAGAUCUUGACGGUAACUAAUCAGAAAGCCACGGCUAACUACGUG